rnacentral:lncRNA from 1 species
CAGAACCUUGUGAUUGAUGACCACGAAUGAGGAAGAUUUUCCACUCCCUGUGAAUGCGGACGCAGUUAAAAGAUACUUCGUGAAAAAAAAAAAAAGACCCGCUGGACAAAAAAAAAGAAUAAAAGAGUCCAGGCAAAAAAGGGCAUCCCGGCGAACCAAAAAACAGAAAGAAAAAGUUCGGGCAAAAGUUAGGGAUAAGAAAAAAGAAAAAACUGUACACCCGGCAAGUCGAAAGGGCGGUCCAGGCAAAAGAGGGAAUGAAACGAACAAAUGCG